CACAGGUGUGUGUUCAUCAUGUAAAGCUGUCAGAGCGUCUGUGCGCGUCACACCUGUGCAGAAAGUGACUGCUGUCCUCAGCCCAUCUGUUUGCCUGCUCUUCACCUUCAGCCUCGGCCUGGAUCUGCAGCCAAUCAGACGCCAGCGCUGUUCAUUAAAGCAACAGUUCACCCUAAAAUCAGCACCGUUUACUCUCACUCGUGUCCUUCAGACCUGAGCUUGUUCUCUGGAGCUCAAAAGAAGAUAUUGCUUAUAUCAGACCCCAGUG
rnacentral:lncRNA from 1 species